GUACCUGACUAAGAAGCCCCGGCUAACUACGUGCCAGCAGCCGCGGUAAUACGUAGGGGGCAAGCGUUAUCCGGAUUUAUUGGGUUUAAAGGGUGCGUAGGCGGCCUUUUAAGUCAGCGGUGAAAGUCUGUGGCUCAACCAUAGAAUUGCCGUUGAAACUGGGGGGCUUGAGUAUGUUUGAGGCAGGCGGAAUGCGUGGUGUAGCGGUGAAAUGCAUAGAUAUCACGCAGAACCCCGAUUGCGAAGGCAGCCUGCCAAGCCAUGACUGACGCUGAUGCACGAAAGCGUGGGGAUCAAACAGGAUUAGAUACCCUGGUAGUCCACGCAGUAAACGAUGAUCACUAGCUGUUUGCGAUACACUGUAAGCGGCACAGCGAAAGCGUUAAGUGAUCCACCUGGGGAGUACGCCGGCAACGGUGAAACUCAAAGGAAUUGACGGGGGCCCGCACAAGCGGAGGAACAUGUGGUUUAAUUCGAUGAUACGCGAGGAACCUUACCCGGGUUUGAACGCAUUCGGACCGAGGUGGAAACACCUUUUCUAGCAAUAGCCGUUUGCGAGGUGCUGCAUGGUUGUCGUCAGCUCGUGCCGUGAGGUGUCGGCUUAAGUGCCAUAACGAGCGCAACCCUUGCCACUAGUUACUAACAGGUAAAGCUGAGGACUCUGGUGGGACUGCCAGCGUAAGCUGCGAGGAAGGCGGGGAUGACGUCAAAUCAGCACGGCCCUUACAUCCGGGGCGACACACGUGUUACAAUGGCGUGGACAAAGGGAGGCCACCUGGUGACAGGGAGCGAAUCCCCAAACCACGUCUCAGUUCGGAUCGGAGUCUGCAACCCGACUCCGUGAAGCUGGAUUCGCUAGUAAUCGCGCAUCAGCCAUGGCGCGGUGAAUACGUUCCCGGGCCUUGCACACACCGCCCGUCAAG
rnacentral:rRNA from 1 species